UCCUACGGGAGGCAGCAGUGGGGAAUAUUGGGCAAUGGGCGAAAGCCUGACCCAGCAACGCCGCGUGAAGGAAGAAGGUCUUCGGAUUGUAAACUUCUUUUAUGAGGGACGAAGGACGUGACGGUACCUCAUGAAUAAGCCACGGCUAACUACGUGCCAGCAGCCGCGGUAAUACGUAGGUGGCAAGCGUUAUCCGGAUUUACUGGGUGUAAAGGGCGCGUAGGCGGGGGUGCAAGUCAGAUGUGAGAUCUAUGGGCUUAACUCAUAAACUGCAUUUGAAACUGUAUCUCUUGAGUGCUGGAGAGGUAGACGGAAUUCCUUGUGUAGCGGUGAAAUGCGUAGAUAUAAGGAAGAACACCAGUGGCGAAGGCGGUCUACUGGACAGUAACUGACGCUGAGGCGCGAGAGCGUGGGGAGCAAACAGGAUUAGAUACCCUGGUAGUCC
rnacentral:rRNA from 1 species